rnacentral:rRNA from 1 species
GCUUGCUCCCUGAUGUUAGCGGCGGACGGGUGAGUAACACGUGGGUAACCUGCCUGUAAGACUGGGAUAACUCCGGGAAACCGGGGCUAAUACCGGAUGGUUGUUUGAACCGCAUGGUUCAAACAUAAAAGGUGGCUUCUGCUACGACUUACAGAUGGGCCCGCGGCGCAUUAUCUAGUUGGUGAGGUAACGGCUCACCAAGGCGACGAUGCGUAUCCGACCUGAGAGGGUGAUCGGCCACACUGGGACUGAGACACGGCCCACACUCCUACGGGAGGCAGCAGUACCCAAUCUUCCGCAAUGGACAAAAGUCUGACGGUUUACGCCGCGUGAGUGAUGAAAGUUUUCGGAUCGUAAAGCUCUGUUGUUAGGGAAGAAAAAGUACCGUUCGAAUAGGGCGGGACCUUGACGGUACCUAACCAGAAAGCCACGGCUAACUACGUGCCAGCAGCCGCGGUAAUACGUAUGUGGGAAGCGUUGUCCGGAAUUAUUGGGCGUAAAGGGCUCGCAGGCGGUUUCUUAAGUCUGAUGUGAAAGCCCCCGGCUCUCCCGGGGAGGGUCAUUGUAAACUGGGGAACUUGAGUGCAGAAGAGGAGAGUGGAAUUCCACGUGUAGCGGUGAAAUGCGUAGAGAUGUGGAGGAACACCAGUGGCGAAGGCGACUCUCUGGUCUGUAACUGACGCUGAGGAGCGAAAGCGUGGGGAGCGAAACAGGAUUAGAUACCCUGGUAGUCCACGCCGUAAACGAUGAGUGCUAAGUGUUAGGGGGUUUCCGCCCCUUAGUGCUGCAGCUAACGCAUUAAGCACUCCGCCUGGGGAGUACGGUCGCAAGACUGAAACUCAAAGGAAUUGACGGGGGCCCGCACAAGCGGUGGAGCAUGUGGUUUAAUUCGAAGCAACGCGAAGAACCUUACCAGGUCUUGACAUCCUCUGACAAUCCUAGAGAUAGGACGUCCCCUUCGGGGGCAGAGUGACAGGUGGUGCAUGGUUGUCGUCAGCUCGUGUCGUGAGAUGUUGGGUUAAGUCCCGCAACGAGCGCAACCCUUGAUCUUAGUUGCCAGCAUUCAGUUGGGCACUCUAAGGUGACUGCCGGUGACAAACCGGAGGAAGGUGGGGAUGACGUCAAAUCAUCAUGCCCCUUAUGACCUGGGCUACACACGUGCUACAAUGGACAGAACAAAGGGCAGCGAAACCGCGAGGUUAAGCCAAUCCCACAAAUCUGUUCUCAGUUCGGAUCGCAGUCUGCAACUCGCCUGCGUGAAGCUGGAAUCGCUAGUAAUCGCGGAUCAGCAUGCCGCGGUGAAUACGUUCCCGGGCCUUGUACACACCGCCCGUCACACCACGAGAGUUUGUAACACCCGAAGUCGGUGAG